AGAGUUUGAUUCUGGCUCAGAUUGAACGCUGGCGGCGUGCUUAACACAUGCAAGUCGUACGCGAAAGGGACUUCGGUCCCGAGUAAAGUGGCGCACGGGUGAGUAACACGUGGAUAAUCUGCCUCUAUGAUGGGGAUAACAGUUGGAAACGACUGCUAAUACCGAAUACGCUCAUGAUGAACUUUAUGAGGAAAGGUGGCCUCUGCUUGCAAGCUAUCGCAUAGAGAUGAGUCCGCGUCCCAUUAGCUAGUUGGUGGGGUAACGGCCUACCAAGGCAACGAUGGGUAGCCGAUCUGAGAGGAUGAUCGGCCACACUGGAACUGAAACACGGUCCAGACUCCUACGGGAGGCAGCAGUGGGGAAUAUUGCGCAAUGGGCGAAAGCCUGACGCAGCGACGCCGCGUGAGGGAUGAAGGUCUUCGGAUCGUAAACCUCUGUCAGAAGGGAAGAAACUAGGGUGCUCUAAUCAUCAUCCUACUGACGGUACCUUCAAAGGAAGCACCGGCUAACUCCGUGCCAGCAGCCGCGGUAAUACGGAGGGUGCAAGCGUUAAUCGGAAUCACUGGGCGUAAAGCGCACGUAGGCGGCUUGGUAAGUCAGGGGUGAAAUCCCACAGCCCAACUGUGGAACUGCCUUUGAUACUGCCAGGCUUGAGUACCGGAGAGGGUGGCGGAAUUCCAGGUGUAGGAGUGAAAUCCGUAGAUAUCUGGAGGAACACCGGUGGCGAAGGCGGCCACCUGGACGGUAACUGACGCUGAGGUGCGAAAGCGUGGGUAGCAAACAGGAUUAGAUACCCUGGUAGUCCACGCU
rnacentral:rRNA from 1 species